ensembl:lncRNA
AUUACUUGAAAAAUACUUGCUGAAAAACUUACUUUCAUGGAAUGAAAACAGAUGGUCAAGUCUGCCAAAAUGUGCAGAUGAAGUUGCUGUGAAAACACGUCACACUUACUGUCUGUUAGCAUCUGUUCAUCUACAUAAAGUGUUACGUUUUAGUUUCUGCCAUCACUCUCCCCUACUGUCAAUCCAAGGUCGUCACCCUGUAAGGCCGGUGUCCAGCACAGUGUGGUGAUUUUAUGGCCUCCCAAACAUACCUAGUUCAGCUCAUCGGUUAAUGAGCAUGCUUAGUUGGAGCAUUUGAGAAGGGAAAUCACUGAACUGGACUGUGACCCUCCAGCACCUGAACCACUGCCCUCUGCUACAGACUGAUUAAUUCACUGCCUUCUGGUGUUAUUAGCUGAAACAGAAACUGCACCUGAGCCAGCAGAGGGCAUCUCUGUGCUCCAGGGCAGCAGAGGAGGCCGACAUGUCACGAGGAGAGGCAGAAAAGAGCCGGACACUGGCAGAGGCUCGGGCAUUGGAGAGUAGGCAAGAAAGAGAGGUGGCACUGGCUGAGAAAUCUCGACUCGGUGAAGACCUGCAGCACCUCAGUAAAGAGCACACCAAUGUGCAGCUGCUAUUGGCCCAGACUGAGAAGAAUUACUUUGAGACCAAGCUGAAGCUGGAGAGGAUCUCCGGAGAGAAGCAGUUUCUGCUGGAGGAGAACAAGGGUUUAGAGGAAGAGAGAAACACACUAAGGCACAGGCUGAAGGAGCUGACGGAAGAGAACGCGAAAAUCAAAGAAAAGGAGGUGAGCUGGAGGCGCAGGGCUGCAGUGGCUGAGGACCAGAGCGAGAGAGCCAGUAAGGCACAGGAGCAGGCCGAGCAGGAGCGCAGGUUGGCAGAGAGAGAGAAGGAGGAGCGCAUCAGCGAGUGUCUCAGCUGGAGGGAGAAACACCAAGCCCUAGCAGAUAUCUUCAGAGCCCAGGAGGAUCUCAAAUCUCAGAGGCAGAACAAAGCAUGUCAAGCCAACAUAAAAAACUACUUCUUGUGUAUGACUGAAAGUGAUCAGAGGGUUAAGAUCCUGAAGAACCAUGAUGGAACUCCAAGGAACUUCACGGAAGGAGAGCCCGUGUACAUUUCAGCAACUGAAGCUGGCAGUGAAGAUUCAGACAGAAGAACAGGAAGAACUAUGCUCAGGGUUGCUGCCCCCAGGGGAAGAGACUCUGGACCAGCUCACUUCAGUGAACUGUCACCAAUGGGAGGAGACGCUCCUGACCCCAACCCUUUGAGGAGAAGUCGGAAGCUGGUUGAAUACUUCUGGAUCCCCACCGAUGAAGAAUAA